AGUGAACGCUGGCGGUAGGCCUAACACAUGCAAGUCGAACGGCAGCACAGUAAGAGCUUGCUCUUACGGGUGGCGAGUGGCGGACGGGUGAGGAAUACAUCGGAAUCUACUUUUUCGUGGGGGAUAACGUAGGGAAACUUACGCUAAUACCGCAUACGACCUACGGGUGAAAGCAGGGGAUCUUCGUACCUUGCGCGAUUGAAUGAGCCGAUGUCGGAUUAGCUAGUUGGCGGGGUAAAGGCCCACCAAGGCGACGAUCCGUAGCUGGUCUGAGAGGAUGAGCAGCCACACUGGAAGGGGGACAGGCUCCAGACUCCUGCGGGAGGCAGCAGUGGGGAAUAUGGGGCAAUGGGCGCAAACCUGAUCCAGACGUACAGCGUGGGUGAAGAAGGCGUCCGGGUUGGAAAGCCGUUUUGUUGGGAAAGAAAAGCAGCAGGUUAAUACCCCGCGGUUCUGACGGUACCUAAAGAAUAAGCACCGGCUAACUUCGUG
rnacentral:rRNA from 1 species